rnacentral:tRNA from 1 species
GCCUGGGUGGCUCAGUCGGUUGAGUGCCUGACUUCAGCAGGUCACGAUCUCAGAGUCUGUGGGUUCGAGCCCCGCGUCGGGCU